CCUACGGGAGGCAGCAGUGGGGGAUAUUGCACAAUGGGGGAAACCCUGAUGCAGCGACGCCGCGUGUGGGAAGACGGUCCUCUGGAUUGUAAACCACUGUCCCCAGGGACGAAGAUGACGGUACCUGGGGAGGAAGCUCCGGCUAACUACGUGCCAGCAGCCGCGGUAAUACGUAGGGAGCGAGCGUUGUCCGGAAUUACUGGGUGUAAAGGGAGCGUAGGCGGGGAUGCAAGUUGGGUGUCAAAACUACCGGCUCAACUGGUAGUCGCACUCAAAACUGCAGCUCUUGAGUGAAGUAGAGGCAGGCGGAAUUCCUGGUGUAGCGGUGAAAUGCGUAGAUAUCAGGAGGAACACCGGUGGCGAAGGCGGCCUGCUGGACUGCAACUGACGUUGAGGCCCGAAAGCGUGGGGAGCAAACAGGAUUAGAUACCCGGGUAGUC
rnacentral:rRNA from 1 species